GGAUGCCACAGCAGGAAACAGCCUGAUCAGAGAAAUGCUUUGUGAAGACAUUUUAAAUAGAAUUCUGUCAGAACAUCGAGUCCUGGAUCUACAAAAAGCAGCUUUGCUGGCCCUGGAGUGAAUUAUCAUGCGUUCUGUUACCUCUGGAGAAGGUGACAAGUUGCUGUUAGUUUGUUGAAUUUUUCCUUAUUGAUGGUACCUCCAGGAAGUGCCCAGUUCUUAUCUACAGAGAUGCCCUUCAAGGAGACCUUUAUGGGUCACAUUUAUGGCUCCUACGGUCUGGUCAAUACAGCAUUCUCUGCACCCCGUGCACCCUGCUACAAGCCUGUUGCAGCUUGGUUUCUUGGCCACAAAGGCAUGGAGGUGUGCACAUUGCCCAUGGAUGAGGCACUGGAGAAGGACACAGUUCUCAGUCUUCAUUCUCCGGCUCUUCAGUGUGAUCUUAUGCAGCAUAACGUUUCCAACUGAAUAAUUUACAAGGCAAAAGCACUCCAAGUAUGAAAACAUUUGCAACGAUAUUAGACAGAAAGACAGUCUUCACUGGGCCACUGCAAGGUACCUUUGUUGAAGCCUAUUUCCCUAGGAAAGUACAUGCUCCAACAAAUAGCCACUUGGAAUGUAAAUCAGGUUUUGACGGUAAGAGAGUAUUGAUUCCUUCAAGAAGAAUGUUAAUGGUCACAGUGCUACUCAUCAGGAAAAAUGAAUCUGUGAAAACUCCACUACCUACACAUUACACUUUUUGGUUACUGUACACUGCAAGCCUGUGGUUAGCCAAACUUAAAAUGUGAGCUGUUGAAUGUAUAUGUGCAGAGCAUGGGUCACAUUUUGGAGUCUGUCCAAGGAGUUCUCUCAGCUCUGGGAUCCAGGAAGGCUCUUCAGGCCUGGGUGUACAUCACAACCACAUCUUUCUCCAUAGUGGGACCCGUACCUUGCAUCCUAACAAGUCUUGGGCAACAGCGGCACCUCAGCUCACCUCAAGUCCCUGACUUGGGUGGCAGGCCUUAGCCCACUGUUCACUCUUAUUUCACAAUCUUAGGAAAUUAAGUCUGUUAAAAAAUCACUACUUCUUGUUGCCCAUGGGCCUGGUAUCAUUCUGUACAUCUGCUGGACUAAUGAAGGUAGACUUCAAACAGCUUGCCAACUUCCCUCCUUUACCACUGUUAACGUGUCAUUUUCAGAAUGUCAAAGGACGUGGGACAGACAAGAGAAAGCUGGGAUUGCAUGCGGACACUGUGCACACAUUUGCAUGAGUAGAAAAUCUCCCAAAUCACAGACUUUUCUGUCUAGAGGCAUGAUCCAUCCCUACUCUGAGAAAGGGGGAAUCUGAAAAGUGAGCAAAACCACCACUUACAAUUUGCCUAUAAGAGUGCUUAGAUAUUUCUUAAUGCACUGAGGAAUGCAAAUCAAUCCCCCCCAGAACAACUCUAUCCAUCCAACCAGGAUCCCAAUGCUGAAUGCAAGUGCUGAUGGACAUCUUUAGGGGCUUAAUUAUCCAAAGUGCUAGGAAACCACAAGUUCCAUGGUCACAGGUAUGCAACAGCUUUGAAGACUGAGCUACUUGUAUUUAAAAGCUUCAGCGGAGAUUUAGCAACUUAACUUCAUGAAACCAACUCUGUGGGUUUCAUUUGUAUUCCAAAGGCAAAUACUAUCCCAGUUUUGGGAAGAGACAAGGAGGACAGCAAGAUGCUGAAAGUGCCCUAAGCUGCAGUGGGUGAUGAGGACAUGCUGGGACCUCGUCUGCUUUGGUUGCUCUGUGGGAAUCAAGGGGUCACACUGGGAGACCACUGGGAGAAGGGGAAACCCAAUAUCGUCAUCAAAGAAAAGGGAAACAAGACAUCAGCAACAGUCCUGCAUCUGUGAGCAGGUCACAGCCAAGGUGCUCUGUUUCCCUCUACUGGUAAAACCUCAAGAUUUAUUUUUUUAUAUAUCACUAGAAUUCUGGGGUUUUUUUGCUGGAGGUUUUCUGCUGGAGGUGUCUGUGUGGCACUGUGUGCUGUGCGUGCCCAUGCAUUGUGUGCUGAACAGUGCCUGUGAGCAUAUCCAGGUUUCUUGUUUUCUUCCAAAUCUCCCUCAGCUCUCUCUCUCUUUGCUGAGCUCUGCCAUACAGCCAGCUCCGUUUCAUGCUGUUGACUUCAGCAGAGUUGGGCAUGAAUCUAAAUUAUUAAGAAAUAUUUCAAGGUGAUUUAUGCAUGUUUGGGAAGGUGUCAUUGAUUUCUCAGCAUGAAAGCAAUGCCGCAACACUAACACUACUCUUCGGCAGUCUAACACUUUUUUUAAAGAACUGCUGCUAUUUGGUUGUGUUCAAAAGACAGAACAGAGAUUCUGUUGUAGGAAAGUCUCAAGAUUACGAGCUGGUAAGAAGAUGAGGUAAUUGUACACAUGGCACUGAAUGCACUAUCUAGAUAUUUGAAUUGCUCAGUCAGACCACACGGCCCACAGCCAGCUCCAGUAAGACCUCAUGCACGAUCCUCUGCUUCCCAUUGCCAAAGAAAACAUCAGUGUUCACAACCAUUAGAGGACUUUAGAAGUAAGCAAAAUUAAUUUAGGAAGGAGCUUUCUGAGCUUUCACAGGCACCAUCUUAUAGAGACAUGGGUCUCCUUCCAGCUUACAGUCUUUCACUAUCUUGGGGUCUUUCAGGGCGUUUCUUCCUUUCCACGUGACAUCCCCAACAGCAGAGGUUUCCCAUGUCCUGCUACCAGGGUUAGCAUUUUACACUGGGAAUGCAUUUGAGUUUUUCCACAUGUGAUAAAAACAAAUGGCGAAUUUCAUCUCUAGGAGAAAUAAGUGACUGUUACACUUACCUGCAAGUGAUUUUCUUGGAAAGUCCAGUCGUUCAUGCUCACAUACUUCAGUUUAACACGACUGUUAGAUUAAUUGAGCUAUUCAGCAUGUCUGGUCACAAAGUAUGUCGUAACUAAUUUCAGAAAGCCCUGGGCAGGCUGGCAGGGCCUAGGAGUGCAACCAGAGGUAUUGCCAUACAGACUGUUGGGUCUCACAGCGAGUUGACAUUGAAAUUAAUUUACCAUUGAAGAAAGUGAUGGGAUGUGAGGAAACAGAAUGCUUUUGGACAUAUUGCUCUGCUUCUGUUGCUCUCAACACUCCGCUUUUUGAAUACAUG
ensembl:lncRNA